GUCCGGUGACAGACAGGAAGUUCGGACGUUAGAACACAAAACAAACCCAAAGUAAAGAAGAAACAACAGGAACCGAACCGCGCCGAACCACCAGGGUAAAUGAAGCCGGACGUUAAACCGCUGAGUGAAAUGGACGCGUCUCCGUUUCCGGUUUUCAAAAGACAGGAAGAGGACACCUGGUAGAUCCAGUAUCCUGUUUUUUUGUGUCAGAACAUCCUGAGUGAUAAAGUGUGGACCAACUAUGGACACUGGUUCUGCAGAUGAAGUCUGCAGGGACCAGUUUGGUUCAUCAGGAGACCCCCCGUGUGAAGAAACAUCCAGAACCAGAACUGGACCACAGAUGGACACCACUGUACAAAUGAAGGUUUUAGAAGAACAUAAGCUCAGUCUGAGGAGCAGAUGUGAAUGUGUGGCUGAAGGAACUGAUGAAGCAGGAAGUAGAACCAGUCUAAACCAGAUCUACACUGAGCUCUACAUCACAGAGGGACAGAGUGAAGACGUUAAUACCAUUUAUC
rnacentral:lncRNA from 1 species